rnacentral:misc_RNA from 1 species
UCUCCGUAGGUGAACCUGCGGAGGGAUCAUUACAGAGUUCAUGCCCUAACGGGUAGAUCUCCCACCCUAUGUUAUCAUCACUUUGUUGCUUUGGCGGGCCGUCAGGCCUCGGCUUGGCUACCGGCUCUCGCUGAUAAGCGCCCGCCAGAGAACCCCAAACCCUGAAUAUCAGUGUCGUCUGAGUACUAUAUAAUAGUUAAAACUUUCAACAACGGAUCUCUUGGUUCUG